CCAAUAGCGUAUAUUAAAGUUGUUGCAGUUAAAAAGCUCGUAGUUGAAUUUCGGGGUUAGUAAGUUGGUCGUGCCUAUGGUAUGCACUGGCUUUACUGAUUCCUCCUUCUUGAAGAACUGUAAUGUCAUUAAUUUGGUGUUGCAGGGAAACAGGACUGUUACUUUGAAAAGAUUAGAGUGUUUAAAGCAGGCUAACGCUUGAAUACAUUAGCAUGGAAUAAUGAAAUAGGACGUUUGGUCCUAUUUUGUUGGUUUCUAGGAUUGACGUAAUGAUUAAUAGGGAUAGUUGGGGGGAUUAGUAUUCAAUUGUCAGAGGUGAAAUUCUUGGAUUUAUUGAAGACUAACUACUGCGAAAGCAUUUGCCAAGGAUGUUUUCAUUAAUCAAGAACGAAAGUUAGGGGAUCGAAGACGAUCAGAUACCGUCGUAGUCUUAACCAUAAACUAUGCCGACUAGGGAUCGGAUGAUGUUAAUUUUUUAAUGACUCAUUCGGCGCCUUACG
rnacentral:rRNA from 1 species